rnacentral:rRNA from 1 species
UAGGGAAUCUUCGGCAAUGGACGGAAGUCUGACCGAGCAACGCCGCGUGAGUGAAGAAGGUUUUCGGAUCGUAAAGCUCUGUUGUAAGAGAAGAACGAGUGUGAGAGUGGAAAGUUCACACUGUGACGGUAUCUUACCAGAAAGGGACGGCUAACUACGUGCCAGCAGCCGCGGUAAUACGUAGGUCCCGAGCGUUGUCCGGAUUUAUUGGGCGUAAAGCGAGCGCAGGCGGUUAGAUAAGCCUGAAGUUAAAGGCUGUGGCUUAACCAUAGUACGCUUUGGAAACUGUUUAACUUGAGUGCAAGAGGGGAGAGUGGAAUUCCAUGUGUAGCGGUGAAAUGCGUAGAUAUAUGGAGGAACACCGGUGGCGAAAGCGGCUCUCUGGCUUGUAACUGACGCUGAGGCUCGAAAGCGUGGGGAGCAAACAGGAUUAGAUACCCUGGUAGUCCACGCCGUAAACGAUGAGUGCUAGGUGUUAGACCCUUUCCGGGGUUUAGUGCCGUAGCUAACGCAUUAAGCACUCCGCCUGGGGAGUACGACCGCAAAGGUUG